rnacentral:rRNA from 1 species
AUGGCGAGCUAUCGAUUCCUCGUCCAGCAGAUCAGCGGAUACUUCGAAGGGUGCGAGUUCCUUCACGUGCCAAGGGCCGACAACGACCAAGCAGAUGCCCUAGCACGGAUCGGCUCCACCCGACAAGCCAUACCGACUGGCGUCUCCCUCCAGCGCCUCCUCAAGCCCUCCAUCAAGCCGUCUCCAGAGUCGGAUUCUAUCUUCGUACCGCCUGCGCCAGAUGCAGCCGGAUCCGACUGGAGGAACCCCGCAGGCGGCACGGGGAAUUCGACAACUGGCCCGGGGACUGCCGUAGUCGCACCCGGCCCGGGGACAUUAGAACCCGGCCCGGGGACUGCAGCAGUCGGCCCGGGGACUGCAAUGACACAAGAAGCGGUGGCCGACUCCAAUCCCACGCCACCCAGCCCACCCACCCGAGUCAUGGUGGCUACACUAACAGAAGAAGAAGUCACAGCUCCAUCAUGGGCCCUGCCCAUCCUCAAGUUCCUAGUCAGCAGAGAGCUGCCGGCUGACGAGAUCUCAGCAAGACUAGUGCAACGGCGAGCCGCAGCAUAUGCAAUAAUCAACAGAGAGCUUGUGAAGCGCAGCGUCACUGGAGACUUCCAGCGUUGUGUCGAGCCAGAAAAAGGAGUGGCAAUCCUCAAGGAUAUCCACCAAGGCGAAUGCGGCCACCACGCAGCCUCAAGAUCACUUGUGGCCAAGGCUUUCCGCCAUGGUUUCUUCUGGCCGACUACCUUGGAGGAUGCUAAAGAAAUAGUCAAGAGCUGCAGAGGAUGCCAAGUUUUUAGUUCCAAGCAACACCUGCCGGCUUCUGCACUCAAGACCAUUCCCCUCACCUGGCCUUUUGCCGUCUGGGGACUGGACAUGGUGGGCCCUUUCAAGACAGCCCGCGGCGGCUUGACGCAUCUACUUAUCGCUGUGGAUAAGUUCACAAAGUGGAUCAAAGCAAAGCCGAUCAAGAAGCUGAACGGGCCGACUGCCGUGACAUUCAUCACUGACAUCACUACUCGGUACGGCGUGCCGCACAGCAUCAUCACCGACAACGGCACGAACUUCGCCAAAGGAGCACUAGCACGUUUCUGUGCGACGCAGGGCAUCCGACUGGACUUAGCGUCUGUUGCCCACCCGCAGUCAAACGGCCAGGUCAAGCGAGCAAAUGGACUCAUCCUCUCCGGCAUCAAGCCCCGACUGGUUGUACCACUGGAGCGAUCGGCCGGCUGCUGGCUUGAUGAGCUGCCGGCUGUCCUCUGGAGUCUGCGCACUACACCCAACAAGUCAACCGGCUUUACUCCAUUCUUCCUUGUAUAUGGUGCCGAGGCUGUCAUCCCAACAGACAUCGAGUUUGACUCGCCUCGGAUCACCAUGUACACGGAGGCGGAGGCCAAGGAAGCAAGAGAAGACGGCGUCGACCUACUGGAAGAAGGUCGGCUGUUAGCACUCAGCCGGUCCGCCAUCUACCAGCAAGGGCUGCGCCGCUACCACAACCGUAAGGUCAAGCCAACAUCCUUCCAAGAGGGCGACCUUGUGCUCUGGCUGAUCCAGCGAACAGCCGGCCAGCACAAGCUCUCGGCCCCUUGGGAAGGCCCCUUCGUCAUCAGCAAGGCACUAGGCAACGACUCCUACUACCUGAUCGACGCGCAAAAACCAAGAGCACGCAAGAGAGACGACUCCGGCAAGGAGUCGGAGCGACCAUGGAACGCAAACCUCCUGAGAAGAUUUUACAGUUGA